AUACUUAAGGAUCUGCCUUNGUUUAGGGGGAUAACCAUUGGAAACGAUGGCUAAUACCGCAUAAUGUCUACGGACCAAAGGGGGCUUUUAGCUCUCGCACGAAGAGGAACCUAAGCGAGAUUAGCUAGUUGGUGGGGUAAAGGCUCACCAAGGCGACGAUCUCUAGCUGUUCUGAGAGGAAGAUCAGCCACACUGGGACUGAGACACGGCCCAGACUCCUACGGGAGGCGGCAGUGGGGAAUAUUGCACAAUGGGGGAAACCCUGAUGCAGCCAUGCCGCGUGUGUGAAGAAGGCCUUCGGGUUGUAAAGCACUUUCAGUCGUGAGGAAAGGUUGGUAGUUAAUACCUGCCAACUAUGACGUUAGCGACAGAAGAAGCACCGGCUAACUCCGUGCCAGCAGCCGCGGUAAUACGGAGGGUGCGAGCGUUAAUCGGAAUUACUGGGCGUAAAGCGCACGCAGGCGGUUUGUUAAGCUAGAUGUGAAAGCCCCGGGCUCAACCUGGGAGGGUCAUUUAGAACUGGCAGACUAGAGUCUUGGAGAGGGGAGUGGAAUUCCAGGUGUAGCGGUGAAAUGCGUAGAGAUCUGGAGGAACAUCAGUGGCGAAGGCGACUCCCUGGCCAAAGACUGACGCUCAUGUGCGAAAGUGUGGGUAGCGAACAGGAUUAGAUACCCUGGUAGUCCACACCGUAAACGCUGUCUACUAGCUGUUUGUGUAUUUAAUACGUGAGUAGCGAAGCUAACGCGCUAAGUAGACCGCCUGGGGAGUACGGCCGCAAGGUUAAAACUCAAAUGAAUUGACGGGGGCCCGCACAAGCGGUGGAGCAUGUGGUUUAAUUCGAUGCANCGCGAAGAACCUUACCUACACUUGACAUGCAGAGAAGUUAGCAGAGAUGCUUUCGUGCCUUCGGGAACUCUGACACAGGUGCUGCAUGGCUGUCGUCACCUCNUGUCGUGANAUGUUGGGUUAAGUCCCNCAACGAGCGCAACCCUUGUCCUUAGUUGCCANCAUUUUGGUUGGGCACUCUAGGGAAANG
rnacentral:rRNA from 1 species